GCACUUUUUUUUUUUUUUUUUUUUUUUUUUUUUUGAUAUAUUUACUGGAUAAUUGGAUUUUUCAAUAUAUUGUAUGGACUUACCUUGUACAUAUAAUUAUAUACGUAUAGGUACAUAAUAUGUAUGUAUAUUGCAUGAACCAUAAAAUAAUUGUCAUUAUUUUUUUUCAGAAUUUUAUUUUAAUUGCAAAUAAAAACAAAGCUUAUUUAAAAUUGAAUUUUCAUUUAUCAUAAUUAAAAAAAAAAGAAUAAAACAAUAAUAACAAAUUAAUACUCAAAAAAUAAGAUAAAUAUACAAAUCAAUAAAUGAUUAUAAUUUAACUUGAAAACUAUAAGGUCAACAUAUAUCUACAUAGGUUUAUAUAUAUAUAUAUAUUGUAUAUAUAUUUAUGUAGAUAAACAGAAAAUGGAGAGUGAAGAAAACGCUGAAGAAACACUAAAUAUUUCAGGUUACUAUUAUGAUAAAAAAAAAAAUAGAUACUUCCUUAUCAACAAUGAAUUGAAAGAACAAUUAAAAAAUGAUAAAUUUAACAAAUUAAUAAACAAAGCAAAAAAAAAGAUUUUAAAUGACCAGAGUUUGCAUGACAAGGGGCUAGAUAACAAAAAUUUGAACAGCCACAGUUCUCAUAAGCAUACUUCGCACAACAAGAAUUCACAUAAUCACAUUUCACAUAACAAGAAUUCACAUAAUCACAUUUCACAUAACAAGAAUUCACAUAAUCACAUUUCACAUAACAAGAACUCACAUAAUCAUAUUUCACAUAACAAGAAUGUAGAACAUAAGGAACUCUCAAAGAAAAAAUUUCAUAAAAUUCAUGGCAUAAAAGAAAUGAAAAAAAAGAAAAAAAAAAAUGGAAAUAGUAAUAAAUAUAAUAUAAAAAAUAACAAUAAUUAUAAUAAUAAUUAUGCUAAUAACAAUAAUAGCUCCAUGUUUUUAAAUAGAGGUUCUAAUUGUUUUAUUAAUAGAGAAAAGAAUUUACAAUUAAUAAAAAAUGAAUUAAUGCUUUUAAAUAGCUCAUCUAAAGGUAGUAAUAUAUAUAAUGAAAUUAUGAGUAUACGAAAUUAUCAUUAUAAAGCAUAUUCUAUUUUAAGCUUGCCACCAAUAUUUAUUGAUAAUAAUCAUUGUGAAUAUAUUUUUGUCGAAAAUUUACGUAAAAUUAAUUUAGAUAACAAUUCAUAUUGUGUGGAUGGUGAAAAUAACCGUUUAGACAAUUUAAAUAGAUUUAUUUUUUCUAAAAUUAAAAAGGCUGAUGAUUAUAUUCAUUUUUCUUUAAACGGUUCUAAAUGUAAUGACAUAAGUCUAAAAUUAAUAGAUGACGAAUAUAAAAAAAAAGAGAAACCGCAGGUAGGGGAAAUUUAUUAUAAUUAUAAUGAAUUAUAUGAUGAUUGUAGUAGAAGGAGUCAAAAUAAUACCAUAAGUAGUAGUAAUCAUAACAAAACAGAAGAAUAUAAAAAGGGAAAUAGUGGCUGCUAUAACAACUAUAACUACUACAACCACAAUGAUACAUAUAAAAAAAACAAAUGUUGUAACAACUAUUUACGCAACUAUUUAAAAAAUGAACAUUCCAUAACUGCUACACAAGGUCACAUCACAAUAAAAUCCUUAUUAAUGCCAAAACUGUAUGGCAGAACCUAUGAAAAAUUAAAUUUUGGUAAUAUACAAAACUUUAAAUCAAGAAUAAUGGCAAAUAGGUACCAAGCCCAUUACUUUUACUUUUACUUUUAUAACAGUGCCAAUAACGAAAGAGACAACCAUGAGUCUAGUAGCAAUAAUAACAACAAUAGUAAUAAUAAUAAUAGUAAUAAUAGUAAUAAUGAUAAUAAUAAUAAUAAUAAUAAUAAUAAUAAUAGUAAUAGUAAUAGUAAUAGUAAUAGUAAUAAUAAUAGUAAUAGUAAUAAUAAUAAUAAUAGUAAUAAUAAUAAUAAUAAUAGUAAUAGUAAUAGUAAUAAUAAUAAUAAUAAUAAUAAUAGUAAUAGUAAUAAUAAUAAUAAUAAUAAUAAUAGUAAUAGUAAUAGUAAUAGUAAUAAUAAUAAUAAUAGUAAUAAUUAUAGCAGAAACUAUACAGUUGCAACAGCAUUCGAAGGGAACAAUCAAUUAAACGAAACAAGUAAUUAUGAUAACAAUUUAAAUACAUUCAAUUCAUUUGGACAACAUAAUUUGUUUGAUACUAGUGAAUAUAAUAACACGAUUGAACAAAAUAACCGAUCGUUUCAUUUAACAGAUAAUGAUUAUCAUCAUGAAUAUAACAGUACAUUAAGAAGUCUUGUGUCAUAUACACAAGAUAUAUAUUCACCGAAAUCUUUAAAAUCCUAUGAAAUGUUUUUUCAUUUGUUUAGUAAUCCGCAUUAUAAUGAUUUUAUUUUUAGUACAACGAAAGAAAAUAAUUUUUCUUUUACUUUAGGUGCUAUAGAUUUAAAUAAAUUUGUUAAUAAAAAUAAAAAAUCUUGCAUCGACUCAACCAUGCGUGAAAGUGUUUGUUAUGAUGGAGAUACAAAAUAUUUAUUUAAUUUUUCAAAAGAACAGAGUGAAAUAUUAUGUACAUCCCCUCGUAUUUUGUCACAUUUUAGUAUUUUUAAUUCUGAAUAUAUUGCUUAUUCAUCCUAUGCUAAUACAAAAGAAGAAAAAUAUAUAUUAUGUUUAUUAGGGAUAGACUCAUUUUUUAAACCUACUUUAAAAAAAGAAAUAUAUGCAUUUACUAGUGAAAUAAAUUAUUUUAAGUUGUUUCCAUCUAUGCAGGAUAACUACUACUACUCCAAUGCUGGUAAUAAUGAUGAUUGUUGUGUAACUGAUGGUUAUUCAUAUCAUCAUAAUAAUAAAAUUGAUAAAAUUUUUAUUUGUGGCUCUUAUCCAUGUUUUAGCUUUUACACAUUAAAAGAUUCAGUUCCUCAUUGUAUAUGGGAUAGCAAAAAAUUGAAAGUUCAUGAUUUAUUGUUAUUAAAUGAAAAUGCCACAUGUUAUGUUGAUGAUAUACUAGACACAGAACGACGACAUACUAUUUCUAAUAACAUAACACAAGGUAAUUAUUUUUUAAAAAAAAUGAAAUAUAAUUAUUUAAAAAAGAGAAAAGAAAAAAGAGAAAAUGAAAUGAAUGAUAGUGUAAUGUAUCGUAUGGAUGAAAUAAUGGUAAAACAAAUACUAAAAGAAGAACAACUAAAUGCACAAAACUGUAAUAAACACAAAAAAUCAAAUAUGUUACCACCAUACUAUGAUGAAUACAACCACGAACGUGGUAAUAGUAAAAAUAGUAAAAAUAGUAAUAGUAGUAGUAGUAGUAGUAGUCGCACUAGCAGCAUUAGUAGCAUUAGUAAUAAAAAAAAAAAUACCAAUAAACGAAAAUAUUACUACAGUAAAGAUAAUAUGACCAGUGCUAAUGAUACCAACUAUCAUGACACUACUACUGUAAAUAGUAUACUAAACUUAAAUGCUUCUCAAACACAUGCGUCGAAAAAAAGAUAUAAUAAUAAUAGUAAUAAUAUUAAUAAUAACACUAACAUUAACACUAACAUUAACACUAACAUUAACACUAACAUUAACACUAACACUAACACUAACACUAACAUUAACACUAACACUAACACUAACAACAGCAACUUCUACAAAAUAUUUAACAGUGUGAACAAUCGUUUGAGUAAAAAUUAUAACAAAAAAGCAUCAAGUGUUAUGGCCCAUUCAAAUGAGAAAGGAAAAAAUAAAAGCAGUACCUCAAUUAAUUAUUACAAUACUACAUAUAUGUCUGCGAAAUAUAAUUAUAAUGAUAAUAAAAAAAAAGGAAUAUGUUGUGAGAGUAUAAAAAAAAACAACAAUAAUAUAUUUUUAUGUUGUAAUACAGAAUAUACAUACCUAGUUGAUUUACGAUGUAAUUAUUUAAAUACAAUAUCCCAUCUAAAACCAGAAGAAGGACUAGUAAAUAAAAUUUACUCAUUAAAUAAUAAUAAUUAUCAAUAUAUUUUAUCAAAAACGAACAAUCAAAUAGGAUUAUAUGAUAUGCGUUAUAUACCCUCUUCUAAACAUAAUGAUGAGUUCAAAAAUAAUUUAAUUACAACCUAUGAAAGAUAUAUAGAUAAUAGUAAUUUAAAAAAAUAUAUGAAUGAUUUUUAUGUUAUUGAUAAUGAGCAAUAUAUUGUUUCAUUAGACACAUAUACCGACACUGUUUAUUUAUAUAAUAUUCAAAAUACAUUAAAUAAAAAAAUACUUUUAACCGACAUGCAUUCGUGUUUUGAAAAUGAACAAAACUUAAUAAACAAUUACACAAAUUUAUCAAAAAUUCCAUAUAUUUAUACUUCUCCCGAAAAUGAAGAUAAUUAUCAUAAUUAUUAUAAAAAAAAAAUUAAUGAAGGAAAAACAAAUAUUAAUAAUCAUAUGAAUAAUUUUAACUUAUUAGAAUCUUAUCCCAAAACAGGCUUAUUUAUAGAAUUAAAUAUUCAAUCAAUUUUGCCACUUUUUUAUAUUAAACAAAAUUAUAGUAAAUAUAAUUUUAUUUCAAUUAGAAACGGUGGUUAUGUUUGUACUAUAAAUAUAUAAAAUUGCAGGUGUUGUAACAUAUAUAUAUGUAUAUAUAUAUAUAUAUAUACAUGUGCUAUAUAUAUGAUG
rnacentral:lncRNA from 1 species